UUACCUUGUCUUCUUUUUUAAUUGACGAAUUAAUCUUUCGCCUUUUACCAAAGAUUUCCGUUGUCAGUUGUGUUUAAGGGUUUUAUCUGCUUUUGUUCAAAUUUUUGUAAAAGGCUCGACUUU